CCGCCUCUCUCCUCCAAGCUCGUCCCUGGUCGCUGCUCCCCGCCCCAGUUCCAACUCGUGGCCGCCGGCAAACCAGAACUUGCCGGGAGCCCGAAGGGUGGAAGGAGUCAGUAAUGAGGAACGUGGACCGUGAACUUGGAUGGUGUGGGGGAACUGGAGCGGGGAAUGGUGUGAGGGGGUUCAACCAGGCCUGGAUUGGGGGGCGCUUGAAGAUACGUGUUUCCUGCGCUCUGAGCGCAGCGUUGGGCAGCUCUGGCCAACGGAUGUUUAACUCGAGGGCAGGAAUCAGGGUAUCCUGAAGGAAGCGUCGGCACCCAGGAAAUGUCCCCGACUCAGCAGCACGUCAAGGACCGCUUUCCUCCUACCUCCAGCUUCCCUUCUCCUACCCCUGGUGAGUGUUCUUGGGGAGAAGAAAAGAAGGGUGAAAUCGCCCUGUGAUUGCAAAGAUAGAAAAGGCCAGAUCAUCAAGAGCUAUAUGAAGGCAUUUGAAUUUAAUCCUAAAUGCAGUCAUGGAGAUUUUUAAGCAGAACAGGGCUAAUCUAUAUCGGAUAAAAAUUUAAUCUUUUGGAAUUCUCAUGGCUUAUCUAAAAAGUUCCCUAAUGGCGGCUUUAGUGCCCACUUAACCAAAUUAUUUCCUUAGGAUAAACAAUUGAAAAUGGAGUUAAUGGAGCAAAUGUUAUAUCCACCCUUAAGACAUAAUAUGUGUGUAUGGAUAUAAUUUAACUAAUUUAAAUUGUUUAACCCUUUAUGAAAUUAUUGGCUAGGAACAGGUGGUUUUAUUUUGCUAUAGUUUUAACCUCUGAGAGACUUCCCUGCCCCAUUAAAACCAUUUAUUUAUCCUUUUGUCUAUUUAUUUAUUUAUGCUGGGGAUGGGUCGGAUCACCCAGAACCUCAUGCGUGCUAGGCAAGCACACUACCACUGAAAAGUACACCCAAUCUUUUGUUUUUAUAAUUUUAAAAUAAGAACUUUUGAAAACUAGACAAUAAGUUUCCUCUAAGACGUUCAGUUUGUGUCAGACAAAUCUUUAUCUUUCAGAAAGGAAUACAAAAUAUCUUUCAUAGGGGAAUUCAAAAUAUAUGAGAAAUAUUAGAUGUGGAUAUGAAUGUUAGACGUGAUAAUAUUUCAUUGUGUCCAAACACAAAGAAACCUUUUCUCAAAAUUCUGUUUUCAGAUGGUGCUUUAUAGUUAUAAUAGUGUGGUUUCAUGUUUGUACAUGAACACAAUAUAACAAUAUAAUUUGGUUGGUUUUGUUCCCCACUACCUCCCCUUUCAAUGAAAACUUUUAAAUGGCGAGUACAGAUUGUAAUACUUUUACCUCAGCAUGUAGCCAUGUCAAGAUAUGAGUUAAGAAUGAAGUUUGCUGUCAGUAAGUCAAAUCUGAGAAAUAGUGGAUUACCCAAAUUAGUAAUUUUAUGAUACUCAGGCCAAGACUGAAAUAUUUCAGAAGGUCAUCAAGAAUUGGUAUCUUUUUACUUAUUGAUGUAUGGGAUAUGUUUGUUGCCUCACAGAAUAUGGUUGCUUCACUUCCAGUAUCAGGUCCAUGUAAAUAAGAAGAGGGUGAGGGAUGUAAUUCAGUAGUAGAGUACUUGCCUAGCAUGCACAAGACAAAGCCCUUCAAUCCCAGCACUGCAAACAAACAAACAAAAUCCUGUAGGAAAUAAGAAAAAAUAAAUAGGAAAAGUUAAAAUGCCCACCAUGUUAACAACUUAGUGUAAUCCUCUUUUAUCAUUCAGCAUCAAGGGUGUCAUAUGGGCAUCUUAUCUGCAAGGGAAGCUUUGAAACUAUAAUGAACAUAACAUAUUCUCUAAUUCAAUCAGACUGUCAACAGGAAAGACAAGGAGAAUGGAUGUUGGGUAGACAAAUGAGCUUUCAACACCCUAGAAGUGAGGAAGAUUGUGGAGUGACAUGAGUCACAUGGAUGAGAAAAGCAAAUAAAAAUUUAGGUCUACAAAUAAUAAGGAUAUUUUUAAUAGUGAUCUAUCACUGUGUAGCAGUUUAUUCUAAAUAUUAGAGACUUAAGAGUAACAAACAUUUACUAUCUCACAGAGUCUCUGGGGCAGGAAUCCAGAUAUGUACUAGCUGGGUCCUCUGAAUCAAGGUGUCUCACGAGGCUGUAAUCAAGGUGGGAAUUGGAUAGGGUUAUAGUUCCAUCUGAAGGCUCAGGUGGAGGAGAGCCCAGCUCCCAGUUCAGUUAUGUGGUUGUCAUCAAGAUUGAGUUCCUCACAAGCCAGUUGGCUGAGGGCCUCAGUUCCUUACUGGUAAUUAGCUAGAGUUCUUUCUUAGUUUCUUGCCAAAUGAUCUUCCUCAUACAGUAGCUUCCUACAUGGCAUCUGGCUUUAAUCAGAGUGAACAAGUGAGAGAUCCAGAAAGAUCACAAAUGGAAUCCUGAAUAUUUUUUUAUAACUUAAUUUUGUGAGUGACAUCCCACCCUUUGGCCAUAUUCUAAGUACUAGAAUCAACUUGGCAAAUGCAGUCUACAUUUGGGCAAACAGAAUAUACAAGGGCAUGAGCAUGAAACCUGGAUUUAGGAGUGACUGGACACCAUUUUAGAAGCUGCCUACCAAAUGUCUGUCAAAAGUAUUCUGCUAUAUACUAGGUUGAGUGGUCUCCAUCUUCUUGCGAAGCUCAGAGGCAGUUGCUCAAGGCUAAGAACAGUUUGGGCUUAUCUUGCCUAAUGACUGCUGGAGUUGAGCAUUUCCUUUGAACACACACACAGGUGUGCUCACACACAUAUACACCAACUCAAUCAUUUCAAUUUUUAAUGAAUAUAUUAUUGUUAUUAAUAUUCUCAGUUACUGCCAUAACUAUUUUUAGACCUUUAAUUUUACUUUAUUUAUUCAUGUAUUUAUUUAUUGUGCUGGGGACUGAACCCAGGGCCCAGCACAUGCUAGGCAAGCACUGUAUUACCAAGAUAUCUCCCCAUUACCUGUCAUAACUUUAAAUUAUAUUUUAAACUUCUGUUUCUGUUUCAUCAACUUUAGACUCUGACUCUUACUAUAUAUAUAUUCUUAUCUAUUUUCCUCCUUCGGAUCUAUUCUUUCAUUCUUUAAUUGCCCUAGUGAGGACUGAACCCAGGGACACCCUACUAUUUAGCUACAUCCCCAUCCCUUUUUAUUUUAUUUUGACACAGCGUCUCACUAAGUUGCCCAGGCUGCCUUGGAAUUCAAGAUCCUCCUGCCUCAGCCUCCUGAGUAGCUGGGAUUAUAGGCAUGUUACCACCACACUUGGCUCUAAUCUGUUCUGUUACUCAUUGUUUUACAUUCCAAGGCUGUUAAAAUUUUUAUUCUGGAUUUUUUAUGCUUUGUUAUAAACCAGGUCUCUAUCCUGAAAACUAAUGAAUGAUAUUUACAUUCUUUUUAUUAUGUAUUUUUCCUGCUUGGCCAAGUAGUAUCUUAAAUUAUCUUCCCUACAAUUUUCUGUAUUUAAUUUUAUUGUCUUCCUUAAUUAAACUAUGACAAACUUUGAAGACAAAUAUAUUCUCUUUCUGCACCAUGAACAUUAUACAACAUUUUAUUUCCUUCUUUUGGUCUUCUUACAAGAUCAUAAUGGGGCGGAGUGGGGGGCGGAUUGAGGUUUCCUGUGAUUUCUAAUUUCCUUUUCCCCAUGUUAAUAAAGAAAUCUUUGCCCUAUCUUUAAUGUAUUUCCUAUUGAUCAUGUUACCUAUUAUAUGAAAUCUUCUGAAUUCCUUAAGAUAUUAUUUUCAGGACAUUAACACCUUCUGCUUUAAUCUGGAUUGGCUUUCUGUGGCAAAACCAAAGCUGGUGCACUUGCCACACUGCUUUUCUUUGGCACACACAAAGAUGGUACCUCCUAGCAUUCUUACGUCUAGGUGAUAUCAUGUGAUUAAUUUUAGCCUGUAGAAUAUGAACAGAAAUGAUGGAUAUCACUUCUGCCUCUAGUCUGUGAGAAAUGUCCCACAUAUGAUCUCUAGUAUUAAUGUAAUAGGUUUGUAUCCUUGAGAAGCCACAUAAGAAAAGCCACCCAGGAUCAUGUAUUUGAACUCUGGGAGUAAUGAAUGUUUUGGUUUUAGGAAGCUUUUAGUUAUAGCAGUUAGUUAAUUCUAAUAAGUUUCAAAAUUAAUACUGUAAAUCGUACUGCAAACUAAUACAUGUAGCAUUGCCAUAUCUUGCAAAAUAUUGCAAGAAAUAGGAGUCCUCAGAGAGACAUGACUAAUUUGGAUAAGCAGAAAUAAAACAGAAGAGAGAAUCCAAAGAGUCAGAGUCUUCAUGGACUAAAACUGCUUACCUCAAAGUGGUGAGAGAUGGGAUUUAAAAGGCUUUGAUUGAAAGCACUUGGUGAGAUUUCUCAAUUGCAUGUAAUGGGUAAACCUCAUAACCAUGAGCAGAUUAACAGUGUGGUUUUCCCACUUAAACACAGAUAAUUUCAUAUUAGCCACCCUAAAGAAGAGAGGCAUGGGAGCUGGAAUACAAAAAACAAACAACAAACAACCCCCCCCCCAAAAAAAAAAAAAAACCAUAAAACUGAAGCAGGUGUAAAAUUCUCUCUCUAGGAGAGAAUUUAGGUGUUCUUAAGAAUUUAGAGAAUUGGGCUGGGGAUGUGGCUCAAGCGGUAAUGUGCUCACCUGGCAUGCGCGGGGCGCUGGGUUCGAUCCUCAGCACCACAUAAAAAUAAAAUAAAGAUGUUGUGUCUACCGAAAAACUGAAAAAUAAAUAUUUAAAAAAUUCUCUCUCUCUCUCUCUCUCUCUCUCACCCCCUCUCUUAAAAAAAAAAAAAAGAAUUUGGAGAAUUGAGUUGUUUUAGAAAAUAAAGUAUGAAGAAUUUAUCCUGAGAAGUAGAGAAAAAUGCUCCAGGAAAAUAGUAAAGCUGAGUUAGAGACAAGAAAUGGGAAGAUAAAAUUAGCUGCAUUUACUGUUAGGAAGCUUAGUACCCAAGUAGGUGACUAAAUAAAAGAUUAUGUUAACAGCAAAAGUCAAAGGAUUUACAAUAAUAAAAUCACAAACCAUUUUAAAUUUCUGGUUUUACUGGAUAUAAUAUGGGCUAUGAGAUUGAUUUCAGCUGAUCUAAUUGAUCUGUUUUUAAAAAGUGCCUGAUCAAAGCUUGAACUGUACUGAUUAAUGGUGUUUCUUUGUAACUGUGGGUUUGUGCCUGCUUGCCAGUUAUGUUUAUUGGCAAUAGUAAGAGCGGCUAUUUAAACCUUGUCUGGGUGAGACAUCCCCAGAACCCUGGAACCCUCUGCCACUGGGAUUAGUUAUGUACUAGAGUGUGUCUACGAGAACCAGCAGGGCAUUUUGGACUCCCUGGUUCUGAGGUGUUCCAUGCUCAAGAUGGUGACUCCUGUGUGCCCACAUAGCCCUUCCAGAGGGCUGUGGCCUCUAUGGACCUGCAGGUGUGAAGCAGUCUUUGAAAGUGAAAAUGAUGCACACCCUUACUUUAAUGCAGUUGCUAUAGUGUGUUCUUUCCCAGCAAUGAACUGUAACUUUGUAAGCAUUGCCAUUUUGAGUUCUGUGCCUCAUCAGCAAUUGAACUCUAAGUGCUAUCUAUAUUUAAGAUGGCCAACUCAUUCCAGGUUGCCUAAGAGGUUUUUGUUUGUUUGUUUGUUUUGGUUUAGCAACAAAAGUUUCACAUUCCAGAAAAUACCUUAGUUCUAGGCAAAAUGGGACAGCUGUCUUCUUACCAUUUGUACAAAUAGAAUUUGCCUUCUUACUCUCCCAUUUUUCUCAAAUAUUCAGUAAAAGUUGACUAUUAUAAUUGUUUUGUGUUAGUGGGGUCUAAGGAAAUCAAAGGAAAAAAGGUGUGCUCCAAGCUGAGGUUAAGUGACAAUGGAGAAAAGGAAAUAGCGGUAAGAGACAAGAUGAAAAAGAUCAAGGAUUUAGGUCAGGUAGGAAACUGGAGCUGAGAUGAACAUGAGAAAUGGAAGAGCUGAGACUCCUCACAAUAAUUGGAGGAGGAUGGGUGGAUUUCCCACCAUAUUUUCUGUGGAUUCUGGAAACUUUUUAGGUAAAUAUCAGAGGAUGAAAUGAGUGUGCAGCUGGAGGAGGUAAGAACACCCAGGAUUACAACCAGGGGGCAGAGAAAUUAGUACAGACCCUUCACUCUAAGGGCAGAAUACACUCUUGUGGACCUCCAAUGAGCAGAAAAGAUUUAUAACAUGGUGGGUCUCUCUUGAGAGACAUAGAUGCUUGGGCAUUACUGAGUCCUGUUGCUGGUGCCGAGGAUGGAUUUAGAAGGGCAGGAGCAGGUGAACCAGCAUCUGGUGCUUCUUCCCCACCUGGCUUGGUGUAGGAUAUAUUCCCCUUGUUUGUCAUUUACAAAGGAGAUUACAACUUGCUAAAUAUAAAAUGACACAUAUGAGGAGGAAAGACUCAUUUUUCUCAGAGAUUUCAGUAUUGUUUCAUAUAAAGGCAAACAAACAAAAACAGUUAUCGAGUUGACUUUUCAAAAUCCUUUCUGGGUUUAUUAUUCUAUAAACUUGUUGGGGGUACAAUGUCUUAUUUUUCAACUUGGAAAUCCAAUAAACUUUAUAGUCCAUAAAGGGAAAGUUAAAGAUGUUUAGUAACUGGGGAUUCCUUGAUUCUUGUCCCUUUUCAGUAAAUUUUGACUAAAAUAAUAUAUUUUCCAAAAGUGAGUUGCAAAAAUAUAAAAAGGACUGGCUAUUAAAUAAAGCCACUAUUCAUAUAAAACUAACACUAAUCAAGAUGUUGAACAAGAUGGCACAGUGGUACACAUCUGUAACCCCAGUGCUCAGGAGGUUGAGGCAGGAGGAUUACAAGUUCAAAGUCAGCCUCAGUACUGAGUUGGAUCGCCAGCACCACAUAAUAAUGCACAAAUGAAAUAAAUGUAUUGUGUCUAUCUACAACUAAAAAAAAAAAAAAGUCAGCCUCAGCAACUUAGCAAGGCCCUAAGCAACUUAGGGUGACCCUGUCUUCAAAUAAAAAAUUUACAAAAGAGGAGCCACUGGGGAUAUGGCUCAGUGGUUAAGCACCCUGUAACCAAAAAAUGAAAGAAAGAAAGAUGGGUGGGAAGGAAGGAAGGAAGGAAGGAAGGAAGGAAGGAAGGAGGGAGGGAGGGAAGGAAGGAAGGAGGGAAGGAAGGGGAAGAAAAUAGUUUAGCAUUUCUAAAAAUGCUCACUAGUUAAAUGCCAUGUGACAUAAUGGCAUGUAACUUGACAAUAUGGCAGAUGGAGAGUAAAUAGUCCGCUCCUGAAAACAUAUUUUUUCAUUGAAAAACAACCCAUCUGGGUACAUUAUACUUCCUUGGUAAGUCUUUAGAUCAAUCAGUGACAACUGACACGGAAAUAUUGUUACCACAGUGGCAUAAGUUUCCUCCCUAGGGAGGGGAGGAAGAGGCUAGGCCAUAAGGCUUUCUGCUCUGAAAUAUUCAAAUUGGUAGAAGAAGGGGUAAAAAGCCAGAUUUGAAGGAAGACAGAAGAAAUUUCUUUAUUUCAAAAGUUCCAUUUCUUAAAUACCUGAAAAUUAGCAGAAUUUUUAAAGAGGGGAGGCAGGGGAGAAGAGGCAGCUGCAGAUUAUUAAGAAAAGAUGGUACAUGUACAUCUUCAGAUUUACAUGUCCCACUGCACAGGGCAGGGCAGGGGUGCAUCAGGACAAAAGGCUGAAAGGAGUUUUAUAGGCUUUGCCUCCUUCCUGGAGCCUCCUUAUCACUUAAAAAGGAGUUGAGACUUCUUGGACCCGUAUUUUCCUAAUUUGCAAGGGGAUUGAAGCAGGGUCCAAAUCCAGCCAGUUUUCAGUGAUAAAGGGAAGUAUAUCAUUUGUGCCUCUCAAAAUAAAUUUCAAUAUCAGUAACUAUCAUCAGUCCAGUGAUUUUUUUGUGGCUGGCAAAAGAUUCAACUUGACCUUAAAAAAAAAAAAAAAGAUUUGUGGGGCUGGGGACGUAACUCAGUGUAUUAUGCUUUCCUGGCAUGUAUGAGGUCCUGGAUUCAAUCCCUGACACUGAAGAAAUACUUACUAUUGAAAUACCCAUAAAAGUACCUUACCAAAGUUGGAAAUCAUAUUUAACAUGUAGGAAAUAUGGAAAGUAUAAAAACAAUGCUUAAAUUUUCAGCAUCCCAAUAUAAUCAUUGUCAACAUCUCAAGGUAUAUUAUUUCAGUCUUCUCUGAUGUAUUUAUGGGUGUGUUAGGGAACAGACAGAUGAAGAUGGUAAAAACAUGAGGUUAAGAGAAUAAUUCUAUAAAAUAGGCUCACUAUGCUGACCCCCACAUUCUUUCUUUUCCAAGAAGCAAUUUAUCUGCAUCCCUGCCCAGCCUAAGUGGACAGGAUGUUAUAUUCCUCAGCAAACUACCCAUUAACUUCAGGAGAAAUGCAGACCCAAGAUAACGUCAAUUGGAGGAACCCAGGAGUAUUUUGUGACCAGAUCCUGAAACUCUGGGAGAUAAGGAUAGGUCCUCCCAACCAUAAAAUCUGUAAGAAUUACAAUCAGUCAACAUGGGCCAAUGUGACCCACAGUUACUUUGACAGUGGGGACUUGAAAGUGAGAUGUCACCUUUAUGUCAGUCAAAAGCCAAGAGGUGGACCUGGGUAGGACUCUCUGAAAAUUUCUCUGGGAUCCCCAAUAAAACUGGUGUACAAGAGAGGCACAUUGUCCCUCUUCUCUCUGAGAGAAUCCACUCUCUUCCUUGAGAGUGUCCCUUUUCCCUUUUUCUAUCCCUCCAAUUAACUUUUCCUGUUAUUCUGAGCAACAUGUCUAAACUCUUUCUGACUUGAUCGCAAGAAUCAGGGUUUGAAGAGGGGGUCUUCAUGCUGCCUCAGUUUCUCAGAAGAUCCCAGCUCCAUAAACAAAAACAAACCAAUGGCCUUGCAUAUACAAGGCAAGUACUCUAUCACUAAGCCACAACCCCAACCCGUACUGAAUUUUUUUUUCUACCAAGGUUUUCCGUAUUACUUUAUUUUCCUUCAAACAGGUGUCAGGCUUUUUGGUUCAUUUCCUUAGAGAUGUCAUUUUGGCAACACAAAAAGUAGAGGUAGCCUUCAACAACUUUUAAAAAGCAAAAUAGGGUCUUGUAGAGAGGGCUGUACCUGGACUAGAAAAGGGAUUUGUGAGACAUCUCUUCAUUCUUUGGAGAUGCCCUAGGAAAAUGAUGCAUUCCAGGAGCAGAAUGUCUUUCCCAGGCAUGUGAGAAAGACCACGGGCAUGGGGAUUUCUAGUCUACUCAAAGGUUUCAGUUCCUCAUAUCUACCACAGAAGCUUCCCAGAACUUCCAGGCCCACAGGGACCUUGUAUCUAUGUGAUGACCAAUGUGAGCUGAUGACAGAAGGCAGAGGGUGUCCUAAAGCUCGGUACCAUGUGAGACCCUGAAUGAUUGGUACAGCCAAAGGCAGAGCUCCAAGAAUUAUUGAAGUUGAAUUUCCUACUAGUCCUGUUGGAUGGGAGAAUUAUAACGAGGAUUAUAUAUGAACCCAAUGAUUUAUAGAAAAUAAUGGAAUAUCUAGUAGAUUCUCAUACACAUGAUUUUGAGGCCUGAGACUUUGUGUGCAUUUAUUGAAAUAAAAAAUGUUGGGCAAAUUUAUACCAAUAAAAUGCAAUGAAAGUGACAGGAAAUAUUUUAUGCGUUGCUCCAUGCCUUUAAUGUGUGAUUUCAACAUAUGAAGUUUCUGCAUGGCUCCAUAUUUAUUAGGCACAAUAGCUUUGCUAGGCAACAUGACAUCUUCUACUCUCCCCACCCCCAACUUAUACAAAGUUUAAAUUUUGUUAAAAUGUAAUAUGUUUAAUUUUAUACUUUAGACUAAACUUGAUAAAUUAUCUCACAGUCACAGAAAAUAAUAAACAUGUUGGGUAAAAUAUUGAAGAAAAAUGAAGGCCUCCCCAUUACUUAUUCCCAUGAAUCAGUCAAUAUAAAUAACAAAUAAAUAACAAAUUCUAGUUUGGAAUAGGAGUGCCAAUUCACUCUGUCAGCUUCAGGGAAGGUUAUGAGCACACAAAACACAAUGAUCUUGGUGUUACUCAGAAAAUUUCAGAAAAAUCAGAACUUCUCUUUGAGAUUCUUGAGUUUUCCAUUUUAGCUGUGUCAUAAGCACGAACUAGUUCUUCCUGAGUGACCACUGCUCCUUCUGUUUGGGAAAAUGCAUACCCAUCUGGAAGGCAAAGACAGGAGAACCCUUCAGGAACAUUAAUGGCUGGUGAACAUUCUGAUGACAGACAUCGAAACUCCAACUGGACUAGCAAGUCUCCACAUUAGACAGAAAAAGGUGACCCAUAGGAUGAGGGUAUGAUGACCGAGCAGCUUGCAAACCCAGCUGUAUAACAACUUAGGAAGCCCUUGAAGCAAUAUCCCUUUCUGGGUCCAUAGUUGAUCUGGAAAUGGGGCUGGAUGUGUGUGUGUGUGUGUGUGUGUGUGUGCGUGUGUGUGUUUACCUAAGGAUAGAACCCAGAACCUCAUAUAUGAUAGGCAAGUGCUGUACCAGUAAGACACAUCUCCAGCCCCCUUAGUGUGGCUUUUGAAAGAUUUCCCAAGGUUUCUGAUAUGUAUCAUGUCCUACAUAGCAACUGCUAUUCUAUAGGAAAUGACCUGACCAUGGCUAUGUCACUCUUGCCAUUUUAACCAUCUAUAUCACUUGCUGAGGAGUGAUUGCCACUUACAUGGCUGAGACUAGACUGAACAACUCAAACAGUGGCCUCCUGGGUCCCCAAUUCCCUUUUUCCAUUGGCAUUCAAGAGGAGAGGCCCUGCAAAUGUCUGAAUCUUGAGGAGGACACUUGCAACUGAAACCUAGAAAAGUAAUUGAUGAAGCUAAAAUCAUGCUGGAAAACCACAUAUGAUGUUAAUAUUAAAUUUAGUAAAGAAUCCAUCGUGCUGGACACAUCCCUGUCUUAAAAUUUGGCUGAUUUAAAUAAGUUUUCAAAGUGGUUUAAUUAAGUUUAAAUAAAUAAUGUCAUUAGUAGAAAUUCCCAGAAGAAUUGAUUCACUUAACAACACUAUAUUUCUUGGAGGACCAGUCUUAUAAUCAUUUCUGAAAGUUAAGCUGGUACUCAAUAUAGAGAGCUAACAAGUAUUACUGUCCUUCACUAACUCUUGACCUUGAUAGGGUAGAUAGUAGAUCUGUCACACAAUACUGCAUUCAGAUUAAAAGACACAGAGCCCAACAAUCACUAUUUCUAUCCACAUGUAUCUAAGGCUUAUCAUGUUGCUAAUUAAUGACAAUGGAUUUACUAGUGAGAAUUCAUGAUCUGUGAAAGAAAAAUAAACUAUAAAUGGAACUUACAUUACCUACUAAUCAGCAGGAUUUUAAAUGAAAUGUCUCUGUGUGCAAGUAAGGGCAAAUGGCUCACAACCUUCUCUGUACAUUAGAAUCACCCAGGGAGCCAAGAAAACUGCAUGUAUUCUGCCUAAACAUUAGACCAGUGGUUCUCUGCCUUGUAUGCAUACCAAAAUUUGCCAGGUAAUGCCUGGUUCCAUCUCCAGAGGUCUGAUUUAGUGAGUCUGUGUGAGGACCAGGAACUGGCAUUUCUAACAACUUCACAGGGGACACUUCUAUUGCUGUUUUCAGGACUAUUAAGUUUGGCAUACAGCUGCUUCCAUACAUUUUGUGUUUGCCUGAAAAGUUCUUACUUAGGAAACUUCAACCUAACUUGAUGUGUAUAGACUGUAACCUAUUCUUAUAACAUGUACCAAAGUCUCAGCCAGUUUCAAGCAGCCAACUAUUCAAACCAAGUUCAAAUAAGACAGAGUUGUAACCAAUUGGGCAGCUCUGAUACUCUUCCAUUUUCUGUUUGUCACUUCCUUUUCUUUGGCUAUAAAUAUAACCUGCCCAAGUGGUGAAAGAGGCAUUCUGAAACAUUUUUGGUUCUGACUGAUGUGCUAUUCUGGAAUCUCAAAUAAAGACAACUAAAUUCUGCAAAGAUUUAAGAUUUGUUGGAGAACUACUGCUUUAGGUCAGUGUAAUCACCAUCUCUGGUUGGAUAUUGGUAUUAAUGUUUCCCAAACCCUGAGGAUUCCCUCCCUCCUUCUUUCCUUUCUUUCUCCUUUCCCAUUUCAGGAAAAUUCAAUUACAAUCUUCAGGUAGAAAUUUGGAGUUGUAAAAAAAAAACCCAUACUGGUGCUUCCUGUAUAACCAUGGAUAAUUAACUUGCCUAACAUCCCAUGGCCAGUUGAGUGGCAGAACAUCUAUAUGAUUUCCAUGUCUCAGCUCUAGAAUUUAACAUAUUCCACUCUGAAUUCUACCAGUUGUUAGUUUUAGAAUCUAGGGCCAAUGACUUAACCUUGCUUAGCCACCAUAUCCUCCUCUGGAAAUGCAGUUUCAGUCAGUUAUUUUGUCAUUCAACAAGUAUCUGACAAUCACCUUCACAUAGUGGUUCCCAAGAUAUAAUGCAAUGGCCAAGUGUUCAACAGAAGGCCAAGUGCACAGUAAGUGCUUAAUAAGUAUUAAUUCCAUUUUACCAUAUUUACAGUUUACAUUGUAGAGAGAGAGAGAGAGAUGGAAUGGGUUUCUGUUAGUAUGUAUAAUUCAGCUAUUAAUUAAUUGACCUAUUAAUUAAUAAAUUAUUUCAUUUAUUCAACAAAACUUUUGUUAAGCAUCUACUGCAUACCAGGUGUCCUUCUACUUGCUUGGAGUAAACCAGUGAAGAAAACAAAGAUUCUUGCUCUCAUGAAGCUUACAUUUUGUCAAUAAAGACAGAUAAUAAGCCAGGACAUAUAAAAAAAAAAAGUUAAUCAUGUGGUACCCAAAAGGGUAAUAAAGAGCUAUUAACUAAACAGAAGAUAAACUGGAAACAUGGUCGGGUUGGGUGGCAAUAGAGUGGUCAGGGUAGGCUUCAUUGAGAAGGUAAUAUUUAGGCAAAGACUUGAAGAAUGUGAAGGGGUGAGUGUGCAGGUAUAUAAGGGAUUAGCAGUGGAGGCACAGGGAAUAGCUAGUGCCAGGGCUCUCGAGCAGGAGUAUACCUGGUGUGCCACAAGAAGACCACAAAGGCCAGAGUGAAUGAGGGAGGAAGAAGAAAAGGUGACGAUAACACCAGGAAAGUAACAGGGCCCAAAUCAAGUAAACCUUUGUUGAUCAUUUUAAGGAUUUGGACUUUGAUAUGGUCUGGAGAUGAGGUGUCACCCAAAAGCUCCUGUGUUAAAGCAGAAAUGUUCAGAGGUGAAGUGAUUGGAUUGUGGGAGCUGUAACAUUAUCAGGCCAUCCUAGUUUAAAUAGACUGGGUAGUAACUGUAGGCAGGUGGGGGCUUGGCUGGAGGAGGGGGGUCACUGAGGACAUGACCUGAAAGGGUUCACUUUCCCUAUGGCCCAUUUCCCCUUCUCUCUCUGUUUCCUGACCCCACCAUAAGAUGAGCAGCUUUCCUCCACUGGGCCCUUCCGCCUAUGUGCUGCCUCACUUUGGGCCCAGAGUAAUGGAGUCAACCAUCUAUGAGAGAAAAAGAAAAAUUAAAAAUGGCAUCAAGGGGUUUUGCCUGAACAACGGGAAGUGUGAAGUUACCAUCAACUGAGAUGGGCAAAUCUUAGAUGGAACAAUCUUGGUGGAAGAGGAAACCAGGAGUUCACUUUAGACAUGUGAAGUUUGAAAUAUCUAUUAGAUAACCAAAUGGGUAUGUUGAAUGGAUAGUUGGAUAUUUGAAUUUGGGAUUUGGGGGAACAAUGUGCACUGGACAUAUAGAUUUGGGAGUUACCAACAUAUAGAUGGCAUUUAACUGCUGAGAUGAGAUUAGAUCAUCAGUUGAGUGAAUAUAGACAGAGAAAAACUUAAGAAUUGAACCAUGGAACAUCCAAAUAUUUAGAGACUGGAGAGAAAAGGAAGAAACCAAUCACAACAAAAAGGAGCAUCCUACAAGGUAGGAGGAAACAUAAAGGGUAUAGUAUACUAGAAACCGUGUAAAGAAAUAGUCCAAGGAGGGUCAAGCAGCCUAUGGUACCACCGGCUUCUUUUCAGCUUGAGGAGUGAGAAUGGACUACAAAAGGUUCAGUGGUGGCCUAAACCAGAGCACUAUCAGUUGAGUGGCAGGAAUGAAAUUCUGAGAAGAAUGGGUAUAAGAGAGAAAGAGAGAAGAGAAAUUUGAUGCAAUGGCUACAGAUCAUUUUUAUUAAAAACUUUGUUGCAGUAGUUUCUUUUGACAAGUGGCUCCUGAUUGUGCCCAGCCAGACUGCGGCAGUGGAAUGCCAUGAAAUGAAAACAAAGCUAAUGGUUAACAUGUGGCAAAGAGAACAUUCUACUUUGUAAGAAAAUCUACUGUGUGUUCUGGUGAGAAUCUGUGGAAACAGAUGGGAUGGCCAACCAGGCGCAUGGAUACAGCUGGCAAGUAAGGUGUGAUGAGAGGCCCAGGGAAGGUCACCUCUCAUCCUAUGUAGAAAUCAAGGUCCUCAGUUGGGAAUGAAGAUGGGAGAGACAUUAACUCCAGUCCUUCAAAUGUCUACUCUGGUAUAUGUUUUCUUAUCCUGGUUCAUUUCUAUGUCCCAUUAUUGCUCAGCUUCCCCCCGCCCCCCAGAUCUCUAGUGAGAGUCAGGAAAGCAAAGGGGUGGGCAUGGGAUAGGCUGAAGAAGUAGUGUGUGAGCAUGUGUGAGCUUGCAUGUGUCCUGAAUCAUCCAAGAGGCAAACAAUAGAAAUUUUUAAAAAAAAAUACAAUAAGAGAACCUAGAACUUAAAAAUUUCAGUGAAUGCCUUUGUCCAAAAAGGGGCAAUUUGGUCUCAUUCCCAACAAAUACCACAACUUGUUUCCUUCUUGUUUCUUUUGUUUGAUUUGUUUUUGUUCCCAAUAUAGCAUUCAGCAUUAAUAUUGCAAAAUGAAGGUCACAUAGGAUCCAAAUCUUCCAUUCAGGCAACUUUGGGUGGAUUUCUUAUUAAGAGAAGGAGAAGUGAAAUAACUUCAAAGUUGUUUUCAUGCCUAAUGGAGCUGUGCUAACUCUGUACCAAUGAAGGGUAUGUAAAGUUUCUUUGGGUAAAAAUUAUUAGGCACUACCACCAGUUUUAUCUUUAAAAUGGUAUAAUGGGAAUCUGUCGGAGAAUCUUGAAAACUUUAGGAUUUACAUUUAAGGAUUUUAUGUUUUAGGAACAAGAAAUCUGGAAUAAUCUUUUUUCAACCUGCUCAUGACUUAGGCUAAACACAUUAACUUCUGAAAUCCAACUGAGCUCUCUUUUCCUGUAAGAACUAUCUUUGAAAAAAAAAGAUAAUAAUAUAGGCAGUUUCCAUUUAUUUCUUAUAAUUGUGAUAAAUACACAUAACAUAAAGUUUACCAUCUUAACCAUUCCUAAAUGCAUAGUUCUGUGGCAUUAUGUACAUUCACAUUGCUGUAAACCAUCAUUACCAUCUGUCCCCAGAACUAUUUUCACUUUGAAACUCUGUGCCUGUUAGGCACUGACUCCCCAUUCCUACUCAUCACUCCCUGACAACCUUCAUUCUACUUUCUGUCUCUAUGAAUUUGAUGAUUCAAGGUGCCUCAUAAGGGAAUUCAUACAGCAUUUUGGCCUUUUGUAUUAUGCUUAUUUCACAUAGCACAAUGUCCUCAAGUAGAAUGAAUUUUUAAUUUUUAAUUCCUCACCCCUCUCGUGGACAGACAGUUUCAGACCAUGAUCCAUUUUACGGUGAGUUACUUACGUGGGGCACUUAGAUCAACAGAAUCAUCCCGGAAGAAAAUCUCACAGGGCUGUGUACUAAAGGACACUGUGAGACUUGCUGCUGUCAUCCUGGGAGUAAAUCAAACACAGCCUGGCAUUAAUUCAUUAGAACAGGUCUCAAAGGAAUUGACUGGGAAAGAUCAAGUUGUAAGUGAAAGUAAGAAACUAUACCACAUUUUGGUUAUGUAUCUAAAAUAAAACGGUAUUAUCUACACACACUCAGCAAGAUGCUAUUUCUAAAAUAGUGUUCUGCUGUGAGCAUUUCUUGAUAAAACUCUCCUAACUGUCCUUUCCAAAUAGUUGAAUUGAACCAUAAGUGUUUUGCAUUCUUCUUCAGAGCACCUUAGAGAUACAUGAGGUGUACCUUAACAACAUUUGUCUCAACUUCCUUUCUUCAUGGCAAAGAAUAAUAAAUGAGUUUGGUUCAAGACUCUUGGCAGUGGUAGAAAGCAUUGGCAUAAACAUGAGGGGGACCUUCUUCUUUAGCCCCCAGAACUUGUUAUGGGACCAACAGUAAAAAAUCCAAGGGUAGGACUUUCUAAGUUCUAAAAGGUGGGAUCACUUUAUGAAUUUUCCCCCUCUAAGGAGCAUAAUUAAUGUAGUUUAUGCUUUAUUUAUUUAUUUAAAUUUUUUCCUAUAGUUGAAAGAUGGGGUUAAAAUACCCAUAUGGUCAAGCCUACAUUGUUUUCCUAUAUACUGGCUAUUAACAAACCAAAAGAGUCUUCUGCUAUGUUGGAUUUACUGUGUGCAUUGAUAUCUCCAUUUGAGGGGUUUUAAGUUUGUACAACAAGUUACAGCGGCUUUCAGCAACCACAACAACACCUUUACACGUGGUGUCCAAUUUCCCUUAUGUGACUCCAGUUCUGUUCCUAAGGCUGACCACUGAGAAUCAGGAACCCCUGCCUCCUGCCAAGAUGGGAAUCGGCCCUUCCAGCUCAGAGGAGGGUUUCUAGGGACUGUCUAAAGAGGAGAGAGAAUGGUUGAACUAGGCAGGUAGCAAGAGAGCGGCCUUUAUUUACUUUCUUUUUAGAUAUUUAUAAUGAUGCACCUAUUUCACCAUGACAAACUUAAGAAAGAGGUUGAAAUGUUCCAAAGUAAUUAAAACAAUCAGAUAAUGAUUCUAGAUUUUGCUCCUAUACCCAGAAGCAUUUGUUUCUGGGCUUUCCGAAAUCCCUUUGUACUAUAAUCCCAGGCCAGAGACCCAACUCUGAGGAUCCCACUAAAUCAGUUCUGGCCAAUUGCUCCCUCCCCCCCCCCCCAAAAAUGGUGAAAGUAAUGAUGAGAAGCAGGAAAGGAACUUUAAUCAAAAUAGUCAUAUUGAAAAGACAAGUGAGAUCAAGUGUCUCAGCCCUGUCUUCAGGGUAUUGACAUGAGCUUUAGAUUUAAAUAGAGAAAGAAUUGGGGCAGGUGGCAAAGGUGUGCAUAAUUGAGCAGCCUUGGUCAAACUGGUCUGGUUGUUCAUUAUCUUAGUUCUGGUUCUGUGUGAGGUUACUCUGGAGAAGUCCUUAUUAUCACUUCAGAAAACACUUCCCAUUUGCUUUGCAGGGUAUUUAUUUUUCAGACCUGUGAUCCUAGAAGUGGGUAAUUCAGGUACCCUGAGAUGACUGCUCCUGAUGGGGAGGCAGUCUUAUCAUGGGGUGAUCUGCCUGCCAGUUUCUUUGUUCUGGAAGGUGUAGGUCAAUGACUGGAGACUUACAGGUGCUGCUCCAGAGGUCUGGAACAGGACAUUGUAAAAGCUGGCAGUUGAAUGUCCCUGUCAGGACUUCUUUAAAAAGGCAGCAUCUUUAAGCCUCUGUUAUAUGUUUACCCAUUUAUAUAUCCUCUUUUCCCUCUUUCUUUGUCAGGGUGAAAUAGGUGCAUCAUUAUAAAUAUCUAAAAAGAAAGUAAAUAAAGGCCCCUCUCCUGCUCCCUGCCUUGUUCAUCAUUUCAUUCCUUCCUGGUAAAUCCCUAUUAUUAGUUUCUUGGGUAAUUUUGCAGAGGUGCUUUAUCAGUGAGAGUGAUUAUGUUUUUUUGUACCACAGAUUGAACCCAGGGGGCUCUUAACCACUGAAUCACAUCCCCAGCCCUUUCUAUAUUUUAUUUUGAGACAGGGUCUUGCUUAAGUUGCUUAGGGUCUCACUAAGUUGCUAAGGUUGGCUUUGAACUUAUGGUCCUCUGGCCUCAGCCUCUUGAGCCAGUGGGAUCACAGGCAUGCACAAUGGUGCCCAGUGUGAUUACGUAUUUUGAUUAUCUAUGUCUUUUACAAAGAAUUUGCAUAUUGUACACAGUGUUCUGCAUUGAUUAUUCCUGUUAAUUUAUCUCAGGGACAUUUCCAUCACAGUAUAUAGAUGUAUCACAAGGUGUUAUUAUCUGAAAUAUUUGCUAUUCCAAAUAUUACUCCAGUACUUGAGAUAUCUGCAGAUAUUUCUAGGGCAAAGAAGAGGGGUAAAUUCUCAGAAAUGGAAUUGCUGAGUCCAGGCUAAAUGCAUUUGUAUUUCUGAUAAAUUUUGCCAAAUUAAUGGCUCUAAAUCUUUCUUUUCCCAUGUCAUCACCAACCGAAGGUAAGAAAUUCUGAUAAAUGAAGAACAUUCUUCCCAUGUACUUACCAGUUUUAAUAUCUUAUGAAGUUGAGGGUACAUUUGUAUGUUUAAGGACCAUUGUAUUUCUUUCUCUAUGAACUGUUUAUUAUUAUAUUUCACCUGUUUUUCUAUUGCUUUGUGGGCUUUUUCAACUUUUUUUUCUGAUUUCUGGAAAUAUCCCAAAUUUUCACUUUGCUCAUUUGAGAGAUUAACCCUUUGCCAUGAAAUCUUUAUUUUUGCACAUUUAUACUGUGUUUAUAUUUUUCCUGCUAAGUCCAUUUCGUCUAUGUUAAAAUUCAUAGUUCAGUAUCAUUAGUUUUGACAAAGGUAUUUACUAUAUACUUGUUUUUUCAAAUUUCUAAAUAAAUUUCCUUUAUAUCUGAAAUCUCCUUGAAACUUUCCAGUCAAAACCUCAAUGGAAAGCCAUUGCUCUGAUUGACAUAAAUGUGCAUAAUGUGUCCUGUGUCCUCCUGUGCAGGGAAACAGGGACUGUGCUGCAGGGCAUGUGCAGGUCAAAAUGCCGUUUGGCAUGUACUUAAUGAACUUGGGGAGUAAGGGGGAGACUGAACAUUCCUGGGAAGGAAAGAUGUGAGAAAGAAUAAGGAGAAGGUGUUCUUAACAAAAACCAUAAUGAAGAGAACAGACUCACCUCUUUUCAAAAAUCUCACUAUGUUCCAAUAUUCUAUCUUUUCUGCUUUCCAGCUCCUGAAUUUCUUCUAGAAGCCCUCUUUUGUAGGUAUUUUUAAUCCUAUAGCAUGUGGAAAGAUAAAAAGAACAUAGCAUAUGAGCUUUAUUUGCUUGAGCAACUCUUCCUUGCCCUCUUAGAUGGCAGGCUGGGCAUCCUCUAAUGAUUGGUGAUAUGAAGAAACAUGGUAUGACACCACAUCAGCAGCCUCCAUGUGCAACCAGGCUGUUUCCUAGCACCUGAAAAGCAUUACCAGAGGGGCUCAGGGUAGUGUAUGUUAGCAGCUGGCAGCCCCCAAACUUCUCACUUUCCAUGAAGGCUGCAACUCUGUUGGAUGCAUGUCCAGGCUAUAGAAGUACUCUGACUAUGGAGGGUAGACCUUUCCUGUGUUAGUCACACAGAGCACUGACGAUUCAUAGGACUGAGAUGUGACUACUUAUACCCUUUUCUGCUGUGAAAACUGCUUGAGAAUCUUGAUGCUCAGGUUCUUAUUCAGCUGUGUCCUUUUUCUGUACUUAAAUCAAAGAACACUAGGGCUAGCUGUGCCGUUUAUAGCAAUUAUAAUGGCAGACAGGAAGUCUCUGUAGUUACUGUAGCAGAGAUCAAUACAUUUGAUCUCAAAUAUACAGGUGACUCAAAGAGAUGCUUUCCCUUUCUUUGUCAACUUGUUUGCAAUGGGGCAUUGUCAAUAGUUGGGCAUUCAUCAUUUAUCCACUCAUGGGUUCUUAAACAUACUUCGUGAGUUAUAAUUAGAUAUCAUCCUACUCCUCGUAAAGGAAAGGUGGCUGCUGACUUACACUGCCCAGCUCUGCCCUGCACCCCUCUGAUAAUGGUUCUAAGCUUCUAGAAAAACAGUGUCUGGGUGGCACACAGAGCUGCGCACGUUGCCUUCUCAUAAAGAUAAGGGACUUAGCUGGUGCAGUGACUCUUUGGGGGCUGAGAUAGAAGGUUGUUAAAGAUAUCAGUAAAAGUUCCUCUGAGGAAGUGAGUGGAACUGGUGUCUAGAGGAGAUGGAGCAAGUAACUAAGGGAGAGGGGAAGAAUAUUCCAGAUAGAAGGAAUAUACCCGGAAGCCCAGCAGUGGCAAAGUGUAGCUAGAGGAGAUGGAAGACAUGGGCACAAAAUAGGCCAUCGAUGGCCCUUAUAAAGAUUUGGCCUUGUGGGCUGGGAUUGUGGCUCAGCAGUAGAGCACUUGCCUAGCAUGUGCAGGGCCCUGGGUUCCAUCCUCAGCACCACAUAAAAAUAAAUGAAUGGAAUAAAGGUAAUGUGUCCAACUACAACUAAAACAAUAAAAAAGAAACAAACAAACAAAAAAGAUUUGGCCUUGUCCCUGAAAGGAAGCCCAGCAGAGGCAUCUAUCAGGAAUAGCUCACGAGCUACUGUAUCAGCCAUGGUUGUCUUUACCUCCAACCAAGUCUCACGGGAAAGUGCAAGAGACUUUAGGAUAUCAGUAAAACUUGGUGGCUUAUAAAUUUUGGUCUGGCCAACAUGGGAAAGGAUGGGAAGAAAAAAGAGGACUGAUGGAUUCGGAGAAAUUAGAGAUCAAUGGUCAAGUUUUGGUACAAAAAAGUUAAAAAAUGUGAUACCAGACUUAACAAGAUAACAUUAUGCAAAAAAUUAACAAACCUAAAUGCUAAUGUAUACCUGAGGGAAAAUGCUGUUUGCUGUGUAUCUAAGAGGUGUGCUUCCAUUUAAGGAAUUUUCUAAGACACUUCUUAGAAAAUGAAGCUAUCAUUCAACCCUCCCUCCAAAAACAAUAAUUUCCCUAAUAUUCUGAUUCCAAAGCCUAUGUCACUCUGCUCUCAUUUUAUUUUAUCUUUUGUAUUCCUUUCUGAUCAAAGUAAAAUAAUGAAUAAAAUAUAAACAUACAGUUACGCUACCAUGCUCCUCUCACAAUUGACCCUGAGGGCUUAUCUAUUAUUAAGAGUUGCCUGGGAAUUACUUAUGGGAAAUAGCAAAGCAAGGAAGGAAAAAUAUUUAACAAAAUGUGGCUUAGGUUUUGGAAAAGAGAUAUAAGACCAUAUUAAAGUUCAUGGUUAUUCAUUGUGAAAGAGCUCUACUUAUUAGAUGUUUAUCUAAGGACAUUUUUGGCCAUCACAACCUGAAGAAAGGACAAUAACAACAAAGGAGAGCUUUUGUAAGGCAGUUAAAGUAGAGGCACAGAAUAUAUUUGCUGUGUAUCUAAAAUGAGUGACUUUGGGUUAUGGAAGGAAAAUACGGACAUCUUCUAAUACCUUGGAAUGGAUUCUAUCAAAUGGGGUAUAUUUCAUUUAUUCUUUUCCACAGAAUAAUGAACCAAAUUAUAGGCUUUCUGCAUGAAAAAUAGAUAGACAACACUAUGUGGAAUGAAAUUUCUUAACACUUUAUAUAUAUAUUAUCUGAAUUAGAGUUCUAUGUGAUAAAGUGCUUUCAUUUAAUAUGUAGAUUUCUACAUUAAUAUCAGAUUUUUAAAGUGUAUCAUUUUAUAUGAAAAAGAUAUUAAAAUGACAUUGAACCACAUUAGUUUCCAUUAUCAUGUGUAUUUGACACUUCUCAAACUCAGAACCACCCCUCACUGUAAAUCAUAUAAAUAGCUGAAAAUUGGCUAUUGUGGCUCAGAAAGCAACACCCCAAAAUUUAUCAUUUUAGAUGUCAAAUUGAGCAGCAAACCCAAGAAGGGCUUUCUCCCAAGUUACCUUCUGCACCUAAAGAUGAGAUCUGCCUAUAAGAAACAAAAUUGCCUUAAAAUCUUCAUACUGAAAUGCCAUUGACCAAGGAGAAUUAAAGCUCAUAGCACAAAGGAAGAGACUGAAAAUCAAACACCCUACCCAGAGUCCAAGGUACUUUGUCCCAAGUCUCUGUCUAUUCUCUAGGCUCACUUUCUUCCUUAAAAACAAUUUAUUGACCCUCGAAAAUUUCCUACAGCACCCCACUGACCUCUUUCCUAAGAAGGGCAUUGUUUUAAGUUUCAACCAUCCAGCCCUUCUUUGAACUUCAUGUUUUGUAUGGCUCGUAUGAAUAUGUGCACACGUUAGUAAGUUUGUGUACCUUACCUUGUCUUAAUCUGCCUAUUAUCAGUUUGUUUCAGUAGGCCAAAUUACCAGCUUUCAGAGAAAAAGUCUGAAUUUCUAUAUGCUGUACAGGAAGGACCUCUCAGAUGAUGGGUAUCCCUCCGGCCACCACAAUGUCUUCAGACUGCAGGAAGCUGCACCCCUGUGCAGCAGUUGGGAGACUAUUCACAAUGAUAACCAGCAUAUAUAUAAGGCCUCUAUAAUUUGGUUCUUUAUUCUGUGGAAAAGAAUAAUGGGACGAUAGUUCUCUCAGCAGUUCCUGAGAAGCAGGGUCUGAAAUCUCAUCUCAAACAGAAAGAACAAUGUCUGACCCAUGUAUUUUUUAGCCUUUCACUUUCAGCACAAGCGUCUUGCUUUUUCAAGUUCUCCCCAUUGCACCACCUCCUCAGCAACCAGCUUUUCUUCUGUGACCUCUUGGGCUGGGCUCUAGAUGGGGAGAGGUGUGUUUCAAGCACUUGUGCAUUUCUUAAUUGCUGAAAUACUGCUCAUUUUCAACAGUAAUGAUUCCUUUAUCUCUCCACUGAAAUUAUAUUUCAUCUAUAUUACCAAAUAAAUAGGCAUUUGUGGCCUUGACUAACAAGAAAACAACAACAUAAAGACCACUGCUGUUUCUGUUUCUUUAAGAAAAUGUCUCCUCAAUAAUAUUUCAUAAGGAUAUAUUUAUAAUGGCAAUAUUGCAAUGUGUAGAAUUUAAUGGUUCUAAAAAGUUAAACAUAGCUUCAAAAUGUUCCAAGAUUCAAAAACUCAUGUUUCAAGAUUGACAGUGAUAUCCUUAUUUUGUCUGUGUGUUUGUGUAUGUGUGUGUGUAUUUGAAGUUAAUCAAUACUUGAUUCAUCUAGCACCUAAUGAUAGCAUCUAGCACCUAAUCAAUUACUUUGUUUACUUUGUUCCUCACCAAUUAUUUCUGGGAAUCAAAUUAAAAAGUUUUCAGAUAGGAUGCAGGUAAGGAGACAGGAAAUACUGUAUGUUUUCCAAAGUUAAAUUUUAACUGGACAUUAAAAUUGCCCUGGGUCAAGUUCUUAACAGUAAGCUUUCUUUUCCCAGAAAAAGAAGACACUUCAGACUAAAUAAUUAACUAAUGCUUAUUUUAACUUGUGAGUCUUCUGCAUAUUCUAGUUCCAUAUACACUCUACCUCUCCAGCACUCUAGCUCUGCUUCCAGGAACACUUUGGUAUUCCUGGAAUACCAAAUUUGAUGAAUUAUACCUUUAGGUGAUGAAUUUUUAGCACCUAGAUUGAAAGUGUCUGAAUAAUGGGAGAUGAUUUAUUUGGGAGUUUUUGGUUUUUUUUUUUUCCCCCUGUUCGAGGAUGAAACCCAGGGCUGAAGCAUGAGAGGUAAGUGCUUAUCCCAGGCUCUGGGUAGUUUGUGGUUAUUUAUUUUGAUACUGGGGAUUGAACCCAGGGACACUUUACCAUUGAACCAUAUCCCAGCCCUUUCAAUUUUGAGAUAGGGUCUUGCUAAGUUGCUUAGGACCUGUCUAAGUUGAUGAGGGCUGGCCUGGAACUUGUGAUCCUCCUGCCUCAAACUUUCAAGCCAUUGGGAUUACAGGCAUGUGCCACCUUGUGAUUAUUUUUAAUAAACAAGAUCACAGAUCUAUUAAUACAAAGAAAGGUCCAUAAGUGUUCAUUAAAUUAGAAACUUUAUCUCUUCACAUGGCAAAGUUUAUCAAAAUGUUUAUAUUUCAAAAAAGGGAUGAGACUUGGGCCAUGGAGACAUUCCAGGAAUUGUAAAUCCACAGACAUUUGUUUUGUUCUCAUCCCUGAAGACUUGUAUUUACAUGCAAGGGGUUAGGACCCACAAUCUUUCCCUGUCAUCUUUCAAGGAAAAUUUGUUGACAUUAAGGAGCAAAGUUUCCCUCCUCUCUCUCUCCAAAACAAACUCCCAGAUUCCUAUUUUUGGCUUUCUCUCCAUGGUAUGAACUUGGUACUUUCAGGCUAUUCCACCCAUUCCUCACUGCAUUACCCAGAAGGGUGAAAAUCAGGGCCAGGAGAACUAAUGUGGCUACCUACUGCUGUGGGUAAGUAAUGAGUGUCCAUUGCUGCCCCUGAAACUUCAUGUCCACUUUCAGGAUAAUACCAAUGUAUCAGUACCUUUGCCCCAUUCCCAUAGCUAACUUUGGUUAAUACCAAUAUGAAGGGAGUUCUUCAAAUGUUUCUUAGACUCUCAGGCAAGAUAAUUCUUUUUGAAGGUGGAAUGAAUGAAGAGAUCAUAUAUGGACACACAGUGAGAGAAGAAGGGUGGGAAGGAGAGGAGAGCAAGGCAAGUAGAAGGGAGAGGGGAGAAGGAGAGAGGGAAGAAAACAUGGUAUAUAUUUUCUGGAAAUGCUGGGAAAGAUUCAGUUCUCCACUUUGGGCUCCACAAAUAAUUCUGUAUUUCCUGAUACAUAGAGAAAUUCAGGAAGAAUUAAAUGUUAAAAAACAAAAUUAAUAUUAUCCCAUUCAGUAUAUGCCUCAUUAAUGAGUUUGAAAUUUGUUUUAGAAUUUUGUUGUUCAUGUUACAGAAUAUGUGUAAUAAUUCAUAUUAUAAACAAACUGCUUCUGUUUUAAAGCUGUGUAAUUCCAUAAAUCCUUUACCUUAAUAUUAGGGAUUAUAUAUAGUUUAAAGUGCCUUCCACCUCUGCCACCCCAGCCCUUAAUGGACUUGGUUGAAAUAAAUUGAGAAACUCUAAACCAACAUUUAAAUAUUUGGGGGAAACUAUAUUUGAGAGGGUUUUACUCCAUUUUUUUUCAAAGUAAAGAAUGUUUUUCCAUUGAGUAUUUACCUCUUACUAUUAUUUUUAGUUUUUAAUCUGUGAUCCUCUGAUUUGGUUUUGACUCCAAUAAAUUAGAUAAAAUUGAAGUCACAUUUCAAAAGAGAAAAGAAAUGGGUCAGUGUUUGGAAAAAAAUCGUGAGUGCGGUAAUAUCACCACAAAUUUCAUAUUCCCUCCUGUGUACUUUCCUUCCAUGUUUUUUCCCAUUUAAAUUGAUUGCCAGUAAAUCUCCAGUGGCAAGAAAGCAGAAGACAAUUUCUUUCUUAAAAACCUUGUGACAUUUCAUAUGCAUAAAGGGAUACUCAGUGUGGUUUGAAAGAUAUAUACAUAAUUGAAAAAGGGUAGUUGAGCAUGCCAAUAAACUUUUUGGCUACUACUUCUUUUUUCAACUUACAAUUUCCAGAAAAAAUUUUGAAUCAGGCAGGUAGUAGGGACUAACAAAAAACCCAUCCAGAAGUGUGGACAACCCAGAACCAUAUUGAUCUGCAAAGAAACAGAAAUAAAGAAUGAUUAAAGAAGAAUCUUUGCCUUUGUCAACACUGAGUGCCUGUACAGCUAUCCAUUUCCUCCCCUCCACCACAACUGUCAAUGCCAGAAAAGAUAUGGAGGCAGUUGUAAGAAACUGAGAACUGCUAAAUCAACACAGAUGUGUAAAAACUAAAGAUGGUAUUAACUAAUUUAUUUCAAUGUGUUCUAAAAUCAAGCAAUCAAAUAAAUAUUUGACCAAGUAGGUUUCUAUCCCAGGUAUUCGAGGAUGGGUCAGUAUUAUCUUACUAAGCAAUACAACUUUAACUGCUAUGUUAUAUGUAAAACAAUUUUGCCAUUGUAUUCCCUGAGAGAAUUCACUCUUCCUUUUGCCUAGCACAUUAAAUGGUUGUUGACUGAUUAUGUUAGUUCAAUUAGAGACUAUGUGAGUUGAGACUCAGUAAGGCUCUCUCUAUCUCUCAGUCCCUCGUUUGCCUUUGACUUGCCAAGGUUUGUUUUUUUUUUUUUUCAACUGAGUACCUGCUGUUGCAAGUCUCAGUCUCUAAUAUUUGUCUCCUGAUUUUUCUCAGUACUCUGUUAUUCUCAUGUGUUAGUUUCCUACCUUAUGCUGUCCCAGAAUUUGCCAAAUGUACAGAAGGGGAAGCUGAGUGCCUGAGGUCUCCCAAUCAUCUGUCAGAACAUCUUCAGGGUCUGUGGUUCUAUCAGUUUUGGUAUUUGCUAUUUCUUGUGGAUUUUUUUUUCAAUUUAUAUUUAUUGUUAUGUAGAGUUGCUCACAAAAUCCUCUUAACACAUUUGCAAUAUUCGUAUUAAUUUGGUUUAACCAAGAGAAAGACACCAUGACAGGUUUACAGGAACAAGAUUUUCAUUGGCAGAGAAGACCUUCAGACCAUAUUGCCAGACGGACACCUAUGGAAGGAGAGAGGCUAGGAGAAGGUAGAGAAGGAGAACCUGGGAUUUUAGCAGUGUCAAGAAAUGUUUAGUUAGCCUGAUAGGGACAGAGUCACCAAGGAGACCCAUCUUAGUAUCCCCAUGUCUCAGUCAUUGCCUAGGAACAUCCUGUGGGGAUGCUGGCCUUGAUAUGAACAUGGUGUGACUCCAGAGGGACAGGAGCUAGGGCCAGCAGUCAGGAAUACUGACAUUGAUACACUGACCAUUGGUAAUGGUGUUUUCUCUUAUUCUUUCUUAAGAGCCUGUUUAGAGGGUCAUCAAUUUUAUGAAUCUUUUCAAAGCAUCAAAUCUGGUCUUUGUUGAUUCUGCAUUGGUUUCCUAUUCAUUGAUCUCUUGUCUUUAUUUCCUGUUUUUAGUUUUCUGAGGUUUGAUUCUUUUUUUUUUGAUCCAGGGAUUGAGCUCAGGGGCACUCAACCACUGAGCCACAUCCCCAGCCCUUUUUUGUAUUUUAUUAGAGACAGGAUCUCACUGAGUUGCUUAGCACCUCACUGUUGCUGAGGCUGGUUUUGAACUUGUGAUCCUCCUUAGUCUCCUGAGCCACUAGGAUUAUAGGUAUGCACCACCACACCUGGCUGGAGGUUUGAUUCUUUUUUCUAGCUCUUGGAGUUGGAAGCUUAAGUUGAUUUUUUUUCAGGCUUUCUUUUAAUAUAUGCAUUUCAUACUACAAUUUUCCCUAUUAGAAAUGAUUCAGCCAGAUAAUAUCAGUUGAUUACAUAUUUUUCUUUAAAUAACUUCUUUUUGGUUCUUUGUCAAAUGUAUCUGUAUUUUCUCCUUCAGUGUCUUUUAAAAUUUGCAUAUUUUACUUUUAAAUUACUUUAAUUAUCAUUUUCAGAUGGCAUUUUAAUUUCUCAUUCUUAAUCUACUGUGCUAUAAUCUGACUUUUUAAAGAAUCUUUAUAUCUUCAGUAGGGUAAUUUUUCUUUUGUAAGAGUAUAUUGUACCUGGAAAAGUACAAUAUACUGUGAAUGGCUUUAUAAUUACUUUUUGGGAGGAAUUCAAGACAUUUCCCCAAAACCCACAUGAAUUUUCAUUUGAUUGUAUUGGUUUGGGAUUCUUCAGCUGGGAGGAAGGUGUCUUUUUCUUAUAAAGACUUAGAGCCCAGGAACCAAACAGAUGACAAAUAUUAUUACUUUUUGUCUUUGAAUUUUCUUGUCUCCUUUCAAGAAGGGGCAACACUUUGUGGCUCCUGAAUUACUGUAGAGUCUCUCUUUUAUAACCCCGAUAGGCCCCCCAAACACUACAUCCCAAUGAGAUUGUUGAAAUAGAGUGUUCUGUCUCCCAGUCUUACAUCAGUAUUUAAUACACCCUGGACAGUCAAUGUCACCUCAAGUUUCUGCUCUGUCUUUGAGUCUGAGAAGGACUAGUCAGAGGAUUGGAUGAGUCAUGAGGAAUACCAAAAAUCCUAAGAAAACAGGGCUAGGGCAGUAUGGAAGUGAGAAAGUAGAAAUUCAAGCUGCGAGAUCCAGUUCUCAAUGGAUUUGAUUGUAAGUGAUUCAUUGUAACUUUUGCAAAAUCAAUUUUAGAAAAAUGAUAAAGGCAAAACCAAAUUUUAAUGAUUUAGGUGAAAAUAUUCAGGUAAGAGAAGGAAAUUAAAGGGAUACAAAUAGGAAAAGAAGAGCUCAAAUUAUCUCUGUUUGUUAAUGGCAGGAUUCUAUAUUUAGAAGAUGCAUAAAACUCCACUAGAAGACUUCUAAAAUUCUUCACCAAAGUAGGAGGGUACAAGAUCAGCACUCAAAUCAAUUGUGUUCCUAUACUCCAAUAAAGAAUCUCCUGAAAAAAGAAAUUAGGAAAACUAUCCCAUUCACAAUAGUCUCAAAAAUAUACUCUAAUAAAGGAGGUAAAGGAUAUCUACAAUGAAAUGAUAGAACUCUAAAGAAAGAAAUUGAAGAAAACCUUAGAAGAUGGAAAGACCUCCCAUAUUCUUGGAGAGACAUAUUCUUGUCAAAAUGUCCAUACUACCACAAGUUCUAUAUAGAUUCAGUGCAAUUACCAUCAAAAUUCCAAUGACAUUAUUCACAGAAAUAGAAAAAGCAGUUCUGAAAUUCAUUGGGAAAAAUAAGAGACCCAGAAUAGCCAAAUAAUCAUUAUCAAAAAGAGCAAAGCUGAAGGCAUCACCAUACCAGACCUCAAAAUAUACUGAAGAGUUAUAAUAAAAAAAAACAGCAUGGUACUGGCACCAAAACAUAAGAAGACCACUGGAAUAGAAUAGAAGAAACAGAGACAAACUCACAUAAAUACAGUUAUCUAAUACUAAACAAAGAGAAAUGUAUGUUUACAUUUUUAACAAAUGGUCUUGGGAAAACUGGAAAUCCAUAUGAAGAAGAAUUAAAUAUGAUCCCUAUCUCUCACUCUGCAUAAAACUCAACUCAAGGUGUAUCAAAAAUCUAGGAAUUAGCUGGGCAUGGUGGCACAUGCCUGCAAUCCCAACUGCUCAGGAGGCUGAGACUGGAGGAUUGCAAGUUCAAAGCCAGCCUUAUGAAAAGCAAGGUGCUAAGCAACUCAUUGAGACCCUGUCUCUAAAUAAAAUACAAAAUAGGGCUGGGAAUGUGGCUCAGUGGUCAAGUGCCCCUGAGUUCAAUUCUCAGUACAAAAAAAGAAAAAAAAAUCUAGGAAUUAGAACAGAAACCCUGCAAUUACAUGUUGGCACAGGAACUGAUCUCCUUAACACAAGUCCUAAAGUACAAGAAAUAAAAUAAAAAAGUAAUAAGUGGGAUGGCAUCAAAUUAAAAAAUUUCCACACAAGUGAUGGAAACAAGAGCAUGAGAACAUGGGAGAAUAUCUUUGCCACCUGCUUCUCAGAUAAGGGUAUUAAGAACUUGGAUAUACAAAGAACUCAAAAAACAAAAAAACAAAGCAAAACUAAACUAAACAGAUACUUCUCAAAAGAAGAAACACAAAUGGCAAACAAAUUGUUCAACAUCUCUAGCAAUUAGAGAAAUGCAAAUUAAAACUACAUUGAAAUUUCAUAUUACUCCAGACAGAAUGACAAUUAUUAAGAAGACAAAUAAUGAAUGUUGGUGAGGAUGUGGGGGGAAAGGUACACUCAUAUAUUUUUGGUGGGACUUUAAAUUAGAGCAAUACUCUGGAAAAUAGUAAGGAUAUUCCUCAAAAAUUUAGGAAUAGAACCACUAUAUGACCUAGUUAUCCCACUCCUCAGUAUAUAACCAAAAGACUUAAAAUCAGCCUGUUAUGACACAGCCACAUCAAUCUUUAUAGCAGCACAAUCCACAGUAGCCAAACUAUGGAACCAGUCUAGGUGCCCUUAAACAGGUGAAUGACGAACAAAAUAUGGUAUAUACACACACAAUGGAAUUUGCUCAUCCAUAAAUAAGAAUGAAAUCAUGGCAUUUUCUGCUAAAUAGAUGGAACUGGAGACUAUCAUGCUAAGUGAAAUAAGCCAGUCCCAUAAAGUCAAAGGUUGAAAGUUUUUUUCUGAUAUGUGAAAACUAAUCUUAAAUAAAGGGUUGGUGGGGGAGGGGAAAGAAAGAGAGACAGUAAAAAAAAAGGAGAGGCAAUUUCAUCAAAAUAAAGAUCAGUGGAGUAGACAAAGAGGGUGGAGAAAGGGGAAGGAGAAAUGGGGGAAAAGAAAGAACAGUGGAAUGAAUCUAACCAAACUUUCAUAUGUACAUAUAUGAAUAUAGAAUAGUGAAUCCCAGCAUCAAGUAUGCCCUCAAGACAGUAAUUUAAAAAAAUCUAUAUAUAAAUUACAGAAAGAUCAGUGGAAAGAGGGAAGGGAACAGGAGAAGGGAGAGAGGAGAAGGGGGGAAGUUCUGUGGACUGAAUUAAAGAAAAUUAUAUUCUAUGCAUUUGUGAUUAUGUCAAAAUGUAUCAUAAUGUUAUACAGAAUUUAAAAAACUAGAGCAAAUAUCCUUGAAAUCAUUAUCCCAAUCAAGAACAUAUCUACCAUCCCCAUAACUUCCCUUAUGCUCCUGAUUAAAUGCCAGUUCUUGCCAAACCUAUACAAUUUGUUUCUUCUUUCUUCUUUCUCUUCUUUCUUCCUUCUCUUUCUUUUUAUUUCUUUCUUGGGCUACUUUAUUUAUCUCAAAAUCAUUAUUUUGAGAUUCAUCAAUGAUGUUAGAUGUGUCAAUAAUUUCUUCCUUUUUAUCUCUGAAUAAUAUUCUAUGGUAUGGUAUGUGAUUAUUCAUUCACCCAUUUAUGGACAUAUGGGUUGUUUCCAGUUUUCAGCCAUUACUAUAAAGUUGACAUGAAAAUUAACGUGCAAGCCUUUCUGUUAGUAUACACUGUCAUUUACUUUGAGUAAAUUCCCGGGAGUGGAGUUUAGUGGUACCCACCUUACAAAAGGUGUGUGAAACUUGUAUGAAACUGCCAAGCAGCUUUCCAAGACAGUUUUAUCAAUGUACAUUUCUACCAGCAGUCCAUAAGAGUUCUUCUUGCUUCCACAUCCUUACCAACAUGUUGUUUGUAUCAUUCUUAUAUAAUUUUAUCCUUCGUAGUAGUUGUAUACUGAUGUCUCAUUUUGGUUUUAGUUUGUAUUUUGUAUUUACCUAAUAAAUAAUGGUGUUGAACAUCUUUUCAUUUACUUUUUUCAUUUCUAUUCUUUGAUAAAGUGUCUAUUCAAGUAUUUUACAAUCUUUAUUAUUUCCUUUCUUGUUGGUUUUUAUUUUUCUAGUUUCUUAAUGUGUAAGUAGAAGCUACCGACUUGAGAAUGUUCUCUAUAGAUAAGUAUAAUGUUAAAAAUGUCCCUUCUUCCAAGAAUCAUAGACCCUUAAGUAUUAUGUCUGUUUGUUACUUACUAAUGCUUUCCAACAAUUCUUUUCUUAUAUGUUGUCCAGUUUUUACAGUUCUUUUUUCAAUCUCUUUCAAUAUCAGCCAUUCAGUCAUGGGCUAAAGCAAGAAGAUCCUUUAUAAUUCUCAUGUACUGGCAUUGGGCUGUCCCAAGCCUGGGGGUACAGUCAUCAUCUCCUAUAUCCCCAGAGAAAGGCAGGGGUAAAAAGGAUGGCUGUUUAGUGGAAAGAACACAGGGAUUUAGCUAGUGAAAUCUGGACUCGCAUUUCUUCACUUAGUAAUUGAGUGGGUUUGUAUCAAGUUCACCUAUAAUUCCCAUAUCAUAGAAUUCUGUGAUUCACUUUAUAAGAAUGUGGUCUAAUCCCUAUGCCUACAAGAGGCAUAAACACAGUAGAAUUUAAAAAUACAUAAAAAAGCAUAACAUUUUUAGAAUAUGCUCUGAAGUUUCAUAUAAGUAAAAUAACAGCUUCCAUGUAGGUUUAAAAUAUUUAGAAGUUUAGACUAUGUAUUCUAUUUUGAGAACUGAAGAAUGGCUAUUCUAAAUAUUUUAAAUAAUAAUAAUUUCCUAAUUCCAUGCAUGUGUUACCAAGUACAAAUAAUUUGAGCACAUAGCAUAUUACAUGAGAAAUAUAAUUACAAUAUUAGCUAUUUUAGAUGAUUCAGCCAUUACUAUCGCUUAUAUACACAAAAAACACAAAUUUGGGGAAAAGUGGUUGAUUUGGAUAGUUUAAAAUAAUAAGAUUUUGGAUAUAAUAUUUUUUUAUAAGUAUUUCAGAAUUUAGUUGAAUCAGUAACUACUUCUCAUUACACUUAUUUUUAUCUUUUUUUCCUAAAUAAUUUUGGAAGUUGUUAGCAUCAGUUCAUAUUGUUAGAGAGGAUCAAUUUUCAUGCAGAAUAUAAAGACACUCACAGUUGGUAGGACUAACCUGUCCUGUCAUUUCAGGAGCAACAGAGAAGAUGGGCCAGAAGAAAGAAUAAACUGAGAAAAACAACAUCCAGCUUAUUAUGCUUCCCCAAAUUGCCACAUGACUAAACUGCAGAAAGAAGAGAACCACAGAGGCAUGAGUUUUUCUAUUUAAAAGGAGGGAGGGUGGUAAUUAUAUCAACUAACAAAAUACAUUUGUUCAUCUCAGAUGUUUUCAUGAGAAAAUAUCAAUAAUCGUUCAAUUACUUAAAAUUUGGGGUUUUGUUUCUCACAUUCUUUUCAGAAUAUUUUGCUGCAGAAACAAGGAAUCACUGGUUAAUGUAUCUUAAACAAUGGUACCCCAGUUACCUAAGCCAAGUGACAUUCUGUGUCUUCAGUGAAAACGGCCAACUCUCAGUCCAUACAAGUGAUGGGUGACUUAUUGAGGCUAUCUGCUUUUGUCUAUUUUUAAUACAGAGCUUUUCCAGUAAAGGUAAAAUAUUUGAACAGAAAUCAGGAAGAGAUCUUUUAAAAAUGACCAAAUCAUUCUUGUUCUGUACAAGUAGCUCUGAGACAAUGACAGACAUUGUGACACUGACUGAAUGAUGCACAUUAGCCUAGUAGAGAUAACUGGAUGAAAGAUCACUGCCAAUGUCUGGGUCUGGGAACUUGUGCCAAAUUCUAUAAUGGGCUCAAGUGCUCUCAUCCUGUUAGGUAGUGCUUGUUGCUUAAUUAUGUUCAAACAACAAAUGUAACAGUGGAAAAGACCAGUCUGCUGUUUCUCAGAGUGUUGGUUGCUAUGUGUUUGUAAGUUAUCUUCAAAAUCAACUUUUCACAUUCUUUUAAAAGGUAACCUAUUAGUCAAAUGAUUCCUCUCUCUGGUUAAAGUAAACAGAACUGGUCUCCAGAAAGGGUCUUCCUGUGAUCAUAAGGAUGAUUAAAGAUGAUUUCCACAUAAAGAUGGUGGAAAAGAGGAUCAGGCGAAAACUGGGAACUUUGAAACUUAAAAACAGCAAUGCAGGGGCUGGGGUUAUGGCUCAGUGGUAGAGUGCUUGCCUAGCAUGUGUGAGGCACUGGGUUUGAUCCCGAGCACCGCAUAAAGAUAAAUAAAUAGAAUGAAGGUAUUGUAUCCAUCUACAACUAAAAUAAAUAAAUACAUACAUACAACAAUGCAUCUUCAUAAUGGUUCCCUUGUAAUUGACACAAUGCAUUAGUUGUAAUGCUAGGCAUUUCGGUAUGGUUUAGUAUGGGUUCCUGAUGGGACGCGGGAGUGGUCGCAAGCCACCAUGUUGCUCUUGAGAGGCAUUUUGCUACUUCUCUGCCCUGCUUAGUUCUUGCACCUAAAUGUGACUUCCAGUAUCCUCCUCUUCCCCAACAAGAAGCCCCAGAACACCUACUCCAUCAUCUCCACAGGGUAGGCAACCAAUGCCUUCUCUUCUUUUUUUCUUUACCACACUCCUUCUUAACCUCAAUGGGAGGUAGAGAGCAGGAACAUGGGGCAACACAGGCGACAAG
rnacentral:lncRNA from 1 species